rnacentral:rRNA from 1 species
UGAGAGUUUGAUCCUGGCUCAGAACGAACGCUGGCGGCAGGCUUAACACAUGCAAGUCGAGCGGGCCCUUCGGGGUCAGCGGCGGACGGGUGAGUAACGCGUGGGAACGUGCCUUCUGGUUCGGAAUAACCCUGGGAAACUAGGGCUAAUACCGGAUACGCCCUUUUGGGGAAAGGUUUACUGCCGGAAGAUCGGCCCGCGUCUGAUUAGCUAGUUGGUGAGGUAAAGGCUCACCAAGGCGACGAUCAGUAGCUGGUCUGAGAGGAUGAUCAGCCACACUGGGACUGAGAUACGGCCCAGACUCCUACGGGAGGCAGCAGUGGGGAAUUUUCCGCAAUGGGCGAAAGCCUGACGGAGCAAUACCGCGUGAGGGAUGAAGGCCUUUGGGUUGUAAACCUCUUUUCUCAAGGAAGAAAUAAAUGACGGUACUUGAGGAAUAAGCAUCGGCUAACUCCGUGCCAGCAGCCGCGGUAAUACGGGGGAUGCAAGC